rnacentral:rRNA from 1 species
UACGGGGGGGGCAAGCGUUGUUCGGAAUUACUGGGCGUAAAGGGCUCGUAGGUGGCCAACUAAGUCAGACGUGAAAUCCCUCAGCUUAACUGGGGAACUGCGUCUGAUACUGGAUGGCUUGAGUUUGGGAGAGGGAUGCGGAAUUCCAGGUGUAGCGGUGAAAUGCGUAGAUAUCUGGAGGAAUACCGGUGGCGAAGGCGGCAUCCUGGACCGGCAUUGACGCUGAGGCGCGAAAGCUAGGGGAGCAAACGGG